rnacentral:rRNA from 1 species
UCCUGGUCGGACAUCAGGAGGUUAGUGCAAUGGCAUAAGCUAGCUUGACUGCGAGCGUGACGGCGCGAGCAGGUGCGAAAGCAGGUCAUAGUGAUCCGGUGGUUCUGAAUGGAAGGGCCAUCGCUCAACGGAUAAAAGGUACUCCGGGGAUAACAGGCUGAUACCGCCCAAGAGUUCAUAUCGACGGCGGUGUUUGGCACCUCGAUGUCGGCUCAUCACAUCCUGGGGCUGAAGUAGGUCCCAAGGGUAUGGCUGUUCGCCAUUUAAAGUGGUACGCGAGCUGGGUUUAGAACGUCGUGAGACAGUUCGGUCCCUAUCUGCCGUGGGCGCUGGAGAAUUGAGGGGGGCUGCUCCUAGUACGAGAGGACCGGAGUGGACGCAUCACUGGUGUUCGGGUUGUCAUGCCAAUGGCACUGCCCGGUAGCUAAAUGCGGAAGAGAUAAGUGCUGAAAGCAUCUAAGCACGAAACUUGCCCCGAGAUGAGUUCUCCCUGAGACUU